CUCAAAGAAGUGCUCAAAGAAUGUGUGUUAAAUGAUUUUAAAAAAAUCCACAUCCUGGAUCUGUUUCUUCGCUCUUUUUCAUUUUUUAAAUGUAUUAUAGAAGUAUCGGAUCGGGACUCGGUAUCGGCAGAUACUCAAAAUCAAAUGACUCGGACUCGUGGGAAAAAAAACCUGAUCAGGACAUCCCUAUUAAUUUUGCAUGUUAAGAAGCUGAAUUCUUCUUAGUCCAAAGUGAAAUUGAAUCUAUGUGUGACAGUGGCUGACACAUUGCAGCUUAUCUUGUCCAGCUGAGUCUAACAUCAUGUUAGUUUAUAGCGUCAUGCAUUUAUUUUACAUCGUGAUAAAGAACCGUGUACCCCUCAGGUGUUUACUCAAGAUCAGACUGGAGGUACACACCACCAAAACUAUGGAUUCAUUCAUAGAUGCAGCGAGGAGAAGGCCGUCCUCGCCCAAAGUUAAAUCACCCUGCAGCAUCAACGAAGGGGAACCAUUUUAGACGGUGGCGGAGC